rnacentral:miRNA from 1 species
UUGUACCUCGUCGACCGGAAGGGCUUCCUUCCAGCCGGCGAGGUACUUGUACCUCGUCGACCGGAAGGGCUUCCUUCCAGCCGGCGAGGUACAAGUACCUUGUCGACCGGAAGGGUGUCCUUCCAGUCGACGAGGUACUU